UAGAGACCGGCGCACGGGUGCGUAACGCGUAUGCAAUCUACCUUUUACAGAGGGAUAGCCCAGAGAAAUUUGGAUUAAUACCUCAUAGUAUUAUUGAAUGGCAUCAUUUAAUAAUUAAAGUCACAACGGUAAAAGAUGAGCAUGCGUCCCAUUAGCUUGUUGGUAAGGUAACGGCUUACCAAGGCAACGAUGGGUAGGGGUCCUGAGAGGGAGAUCCCCCACACUGGUACUGAGACACGGACCAGACUCCUACGGGAGGCAGCAGUGAGGAAUAUUGGUCAAUGGGCGCAAGCCUGAACCAGCCAUGCCGCGUGCAGGAUGACGGUCCUAUGGAUUGUAAACUGCUUUUGUACAGGAAGAAACAGUUCUACGUGUAGAACCUUGACGGUACUGUAAGAAUAAGGAUCGGCUAACUCCGUGCCAGCAGCCGCGGUAAUACGGAGGAUCCAAGCGUUAUCCGGAAUCAUUGGGUUUAAAGGGUCCGUANGCGGUUUUGUAAGUCAGUGGUGAAAGCCCAUCGCUCAACGGUGGAACGGCCAUUGAUACUGCAAGACUUGAAUUAUUGGGAAGUAACUAGAAUAUGUAGUGUAGCGGUGAAAUGCUUAGAGAUUACAUGGAAUACCAACUG
rnacentral:rRNA from 1 species